AUACUUACCUGGACGGGAUCAAUGGGUGAUCAAAAAGGCCUAUGGUCUAAGUUGGUGACCUCCAUUGCACUUUGGAGGGGUGCCUGCCUAAGGUCGGCCCAAGUGGUCGAGCCUACGUCAUAAUUUGUGACAGUGGAGGCAUGCGUUCGCGCAGCUUCUAC